AGCCAGUAGCAUUAGCACGUUAACGCACCAGUUCCCAUUGGAUCACUGCAGUUAAGCAACGUAUUGCGUGGUUAGUAUCCAGAUGGGUGACCAUCUGGGUAAUCGUGUUUUUCUGGCUU
rfam:Asian citrus Psyllid, Diaphorina citri - Florida Strain, whole genome shotgun sequence.